rnacentral:lncRNA from 1 species
AAGCAUAAACUAUAACAGCUACCUCCACAGCAGUUCUGAGCAGAGGGAGCGGCCCCUUACCCUCUGUACAAGGGUUACUCUGCCUCUUUUCAGGGGGAUCCAUAAUUCAGACUUGUUAAGAGGAGGAGGAGGAGGAAGCAGAGGAGAGAAGGGAAGAAGAGAGGAGGUGGAGGGGGAAACGGGAUAGAGUAAUUUUAAGCACAAUUUUUAAGACACCAGUUGAAGCCUAAUUACCCUGCAGGCAAAUCCUCAGUUAUUCACAUCUCAAGUAAAAACUAAAUCUCAAGUUAUCUCAGGUACCAAAUAAACUGGGUCACCGAUGAUUACUUCUGGAAAACAGGAAGUUUGUUUCCAGUAUCCGGUGAAGACUGAGCAGAGCGAUAGCCCGCAGGCGUGGUGAUGGGGCCAGGGCCAUGAGCCAGUCUGCUGGGCUGUCAGAGCCACUCUGCACUGGCUUUCUGGAUAGUUCCAAGGGGAGUAUCACAGCACUGCUAUGUUUUCAUUCCCUCUGCAAGCCUGUAGUUGCUUCUCUUGUCCAAUUCACCACAACAUACUAAAAAUAAACAUGCCUUCCUGCUCUACCCGUAACUACUGUCCAUGGCACUGAAAGUGCCAAGUAGAAUGGACACCGGGAUUGAGAGGAAAAUAAUGGCCAUAUUCUCAGCCAGUCUGUAUAUAGGCUGGAUCCUACCCAGCCGCUUGCAGGGUCCCCAGGGCAGCCUGUCCUUGUUGGUCAGACGUGGGAUCCCUCUGCUUCCGGUCCUCUUCCUUGCCCCACGUCCCUUCUCUGAACAACACCUCCUUCACCUCAUGUCUCAGCAGAGAAGCCACUUGCCCAAGAAGGCUUUCCUGACUCCCGCAGGGAAGGGAGUGGCCCUUCCUGGGGCUCCCAUAAAGACCACAUUGAACCCAGUCUCUGCCCUGAAGUAGCUGGUGUGUGGUGAAGAGAGACGGGGAGAGAGACUGAGUUCAUAGGAGAUGCUCAAAAAUAUCUCAACAAUGAAUCCUCUAGACUACUUUUACAAAUAAAACGCAUGUAAAUUUGGUUUAGGUCAUCAGUAUGUGGGGAAAAUGGCAAAGAGGGUGCCUGACAGGAUCCAUUAGGACUGUCUUAGAAUCGGGCUCUCCUAAGCACCAAAAAUGAAGCAAAAGUUCUGGAAGAGGCAAUUAGAGGAUUCUGAGUAACAUUUAAGGAGGUUUACCCUUAGCUUCUUGGCUGGUAUAACAAGUUUUAAUUCAGCUUGGCUGCAGGUUGUAGAGAAAAAUCUUUGAGAUAUUUAAACCAAUAGCUGUGCUCCCCAUUAUAAGGAAAUAAAAAAAAAAAACACCAAAAAAAUGAAAACCGAUAUGAAUGUAGCAUCUUUAAAGAAUAAUAAAUUAGCUGGAACCAGCAUCCAAAUAGCAGUUCCCAAGAUGUCACUAUGUAAUUAUAGCUCAUCAGCGUAUGUCUUGCAUCUUCCAAAAUAACCCAUUACACUACCCUCUUUCUUCCCCAAACUGGGGAAGGAAAGAUGACAGCAGGCCUCAAAAAUAAUAACUAAAUGGUUCCUCACUAACAGGGGUGGCUUUCAGCUUUGAAUGUCCAAUAUUUUCUAGAAAUACAUCACCCACAAAGAAAUCUGAAAGUGUAUUCCUAGAACUCCAACUACCCUUAGUCAACUAACAGGGAUUUUCAUUAUGCUUUAGGGAUGAAGUGGUUUUUUUUUUUCUGUUGAAUUUCAAAUGAAGAGGAGAUUAUGACUCUGCAUUUACAGGACAACCAUCAGGUUUUGUUGAGUUGAGGAUAUAGAGGAGCCUCUGUGCCCAUGGCCUCUUUGGUGUGAUCACUCAAAAUGACUCACCGAUGAGACGGGACCAGGAGUCAUGGUGUCCACUCAGUCCCCUGAGGGGUCCAGCUGCAUAGAAGCAGUGGGCUCACAUGUUCACCCAAUAACAGCUGUGGGUGGAGCCUGGGUAAGUUCCACUGAACGAAUAAAUUUGAACAUUUUUAUAAAGCAGAGGUUAAAUCUUCAGUAUGACAUAGUUGGGGAAACUGCCCUUCACAGGGCAAGAAAUGUUUGCACUGUGUUUAGUAUUUUAAAUGCUUAAGGAAAAACAUUUUAGAUUGUACCUUAAAAAAAUAAGCAUUUGAAAUGCAUAAGAUGAAAUAUUUAGGUUAAACCAUCUGAAACUUUUCAGAUACAAUAAUUUACCAUGGAAAAUGAAAACAAAAAUUCAAAAUUGUUAUUUUCUACCUAUUAUUGCUGGGACGUCCCUUGCAAGAGAUGAAACUCAAAA